UGAAUACGAGACGCUAAGGCGUCGAAGUAGUGUAUGUCAUACUUCCAAGAAAAGCUUGCACUGUCAUAGAUAAAAAACGCCUGUACCAUAACCGACACAGGUGGGUAGGUAGAGUAUACUAAGGGGCGCGAGAUAACUCUCUCUAAGGAACUCGGCAAAAUAACUCCGUAACUUCGGGAGAAGGAGUGCCUUAUUCUUAAGGUUGCAAUAACAAGAUCCAAGCAACUGUUUAUCAAAAACACAGGUCUCCGCUAAGUCGUAAGACGAUGUAUGGGGGCUGACGCCUGCCCAGUGCCAGAAGGUUAAAGAAGCUGGUUAGCAUUUGCGAAGCUAGUAACUGAAGCCCUGGUGAACGGCGGCCGUAACCAUAACGGUCCUAAGGUAGCGAAAUUCCUUGUCGGGUAAGUUCCGACCCGCACGAAAGGCGUAAUGAUUUGGAUACUGUCUCGGAGAGGGGCUCGGUGAAAUAGACUUGUCUGUGAAGAUGCGGACUACCUGCACCAGGACAGAAAGACCCUAUGAAGCUUUACUGUAACUUGAAAUUGAAAUUGGACUUUAUUCGCGCAGUAUAGGUGGGAGGCGUUGAUUAUAAUCUUGCGGGAUUAUUGGAGCCAUUAGUGAGAUACCACUCUUGUAAUGUUAGAUUUCUAACUUUGAAUCAUUAUCUGGUCAAAGAACAGUUUCAGGCGGGCAGUUUGACUGGGGCGGUCGCCUCCCAAACGGUAACGGAGGCGUACAAAGGUUUCCUCUGAACGGUUAGAAAUCGUAUCUAGAGUGUAAAGGCAUAAGGAAGCUUGACUGUGAGACCUACAAGUCGAGCAGGGACGAAAGUCGGUCUUAGUGAUCUGACGGUACUGAGUGGAAGGCCGUCACUCAACGGAUAAAAGUUACUCUAGGAUAACAGGCUGAUCUCCCCCAAGAGUUCACAUCGACGGGGAGGUUUGGCACCUUGAUGUCGGCUCAUCGCAUCCUGGGGCGGUAGUACGUCCCAAGGGUUGGGCUGUUCGCCCAUGAAAGCGGUACGCGAGCUGGGUUCAGAACGUCGUGAGACAGUUCGGUCCAUAUCCGGUGUAGGCGUUAGAAUAUUGAGAGGAGCCUUCUUUAGUACGAGAGGACCGAGAAGGACAUACCUCUGGUGUACCAGUUAUCGUGCCAACGGUAGACGCUGGGUAGCUAUGUAUGGAGUGGAUAACCGCUGAAAGCAUCUAAGUGGGAAGCCCACCUCAAGAUAAGUAUUCUCAUC
rnacentral:rRNA from 1 species